UACGGAGGGUGCAAGCGUUAAUCGGAAUUACUGGGCGUAAAGCGCACGUAGGUGGUUUGCUAAGCCAGCUGUGAAAUCCCCGGGCUCAACCUGGGCACUGCAGUUGGAACUGGCAAGCUAGAGUAGGGUAGAGGGGUGUGGAAUUCCAGGUGUAGCGGUGAAAUGCGUUGAGAUCGGAAGGAACGCCCGUGGCGAAAGCGAGCUCCUGGAUGUCUUCUGACGCUGAGACGCGAAAGCUAGGGUAGCGAACGGG
rnacentral:rRNA from 1 species